rnacentral:rRNA from 1 species
UAGUCAUAUGCUUGUCUUAAGGAUUAAGCCAUGCAUGUCUCAGUACAAGCGAUCUUGUACCGUGAAACUGCGAAUGGCUCAUUACAACAGUUAUAGUUUAUUUGAUCGUGCGGAGCUACGUGGAUAACCGUAGGAAUUCUAGAGCUAAUACAUGCACCGUCGCCGAAGAUCUAACCAUAGACUUUGGCGGGAUUUAUUAGAUCAAAAACCGAUCGCUUCCUGUUUUUUUUACAGUAAGCGUGGCGGGAUGAAUCAUAAUAACUUAACCGAAUCACAUGGCCGUGAUUUUGGCCGGUGAUAAAUCAUUCAAAUUUCUGCCCUAUCAACUUUCGAUGGUAGGGUAGUGGCCUACCAUGGUGUUGACGGGUAACGGAGAAUUAGGGUUCGAUUCCGGAGAGGGAGCCUGAGAAACGGCUACCACAUCCAAGGAAGGCAGCAGGCGCGCAAAUUACCCAAUCCUGAUUCAGGGAGGUAGCGACAAGAAAUAACGAUAGCGGGCUCGUUCGAGUCCGCGCAUCGGAAAGAGGAUAAUUUACACCCCUUCUCGAGGACCCAUU